rnacentral:rRNA from 1 species
GAUGAACGCUGGCGGCGUGCCUAAUACAUGCAAGUCGAGCGAACGGACGAGAAGCUUGCUUCUCUGAUGUUAGCGGCGGACGGGUGAGUAACACGUGGAUAACCUACCUAUAAGACUGGGAUAACUUCGGGAAACCGGAGCUAAUACCGGAUGAUAUUUUGAACCGCAUGGUUCAAAAGUGAAAGACGGUCUUGCUGUCACUUAUAGAUGGAUCCGCGCUGCAUUAGCUAGUUGGUAAGGUAACGGCUUACCAAGGCAACGAUGCAUAGCCGACCUGAGAGGGUGAUCGGCCACACUGGAACUGAGACACGGUCCAGACUCCUACGGGAGGCAGCAGUAGGGAAUCUUCCGCAAAGGGCGAAAGCCUGACGGAGCAACGCCGCGCGAGUGAUGAAGGUCUUCGGAUCGUAAAACUCUGUUAUUAGGGAAGAACAUAUGUGUAAGUAACUGUGCACAUCUUGACGGUACCUAAUCAGAAAGCCACGGCUAACUACGUG